AGACCCGAAACCCGGUGAUCUAGCCAUGGGCAGGUUGAAGGUUGGGUAACACUAACUGGAGGACCGAACCGACUAAUGUUGAAAAAUUAGCGGAUGACCUGUGGCUGGGGGUGAAAGGCCAAUCAAACCGGGAGAUAGCUGGUUCUCCCCGAAAGCUAUUUAGGUAGCGCCUCGUGAAUUCAUCUCCGGGGGUAGAGCACUGUUUCGGCUAGGGGGCCAUCCCGGCUUACCAACCCGAUGCAAACUGCGAAUACCGGAGAAUGUUAUCACGGGAGACACACGGCGGGUGCUAACGUCCGUCGUGAAGAGGGAAACAACCCAGACCGCCAGCUAAGGUCCCAAAGUCAUGGUUAAGUGGGAAACGAUGUGGGAAGGCCCAGACAGCCAGGAUGUUGGCUUAGAAGCAGCCAUCAUUUAAAGAAAGCGUAAUAGCUCACUGGUCGAGUCGGCCUGCGCGGAAGAUGUAACGGGGCUAAACCAUGCACCGAAGCUGCGGCAGCGACGCUGAUGCGUUGUUGGGUAGGGGAGCGUUCUGUAAGCCUGCGAAGGUGGCCUGUGAGGGUUGCUGGAGGUAUCAGAAGUGCGAAUGCUGACAUAAGUAACGAUAAAGCGGGUGAAAAGCCCGCUCGCCGGAAGACCAAGGGUUCCUGUCCAACGUUAAUCGGGGCAGGGUGAGUCGACCCCUAAGGCGAGGCCGAAAGGCGUAGUCGAUGGGAAACGGGUUAAUAUUCCCGUACUUGGUGUUACUGCGAAGGGGGGACGGAGAAGGCUAUGUUGGCCGGGCGACGGUUGUCCCGGUUUAAGCGUGUAGGUGUGUGUUCCAGGUAAAUCCGGUUCACUUUAACACUGAGGCGUGAUGACGAGGCACUACGGUGCUGAAGCAACAAAUGCCCUGCUUCCAGGAAAAGCCUCUAAGCAUCAGGUAACAUCAAAUCGUACCCCAAACCGACACAGGUGGUCAGGUAGAGAAUACCAAGGCGCUUGAGAGAACUCGGGUGAAGGAACUAGGCAAAAUGGUGCCGUAACUUCGGGAGAAGGCACGCUGACACGUAGGUGAAGUGAUUUACUCAUGGAGCUGAAGUCAGUCGAAGAUACCAGCUGGCUGCAACUGUUUAUUAAAAACACAGCACUGUGCAAACACGAAAGUGGACGUAUACGGUGUGACGCCUGCCCGGUGCCGGAAGGUUAAUUGAUGGGGUCAGCGCAAGCGAAGCUCCUGAUCGAAGCCCCGGUAAACGGCGGCCGUAACUAUAACGGUCCUAAGGUAGCGAAAUUCCUUGUCGGGUAAGUUCCGACCUGCACGAAUGGCGUAAUGAUGGCCAGGCUGUCUCCACCCGAGACUCAGUGAAAUUGAACUCGCUGUGAAGAUGCAGUGUACCCGCGGCAAGACGGAAAGACCCCGUGAACCUUUACUAUAGCUUGACACUGAACAUUGAGCCUUGAUGUGUAGGAUAGGUGGGAGGCUUUGAAGUGUGGACGCCAGUCUGCAUGGAGCCG
rnacentral:rRNA from 1 species